rnacentral:rRNA from 1 species
AGUGAACGCUGGCGGUAGGCCUAACACAUGCAAGUCGAACGGCAGCACAGUAAUUGCUUGCUCUUACGGGUGGCGACUGGCGUACGUUUCAUUAAUAUAUCCGUAUCUACUUUUUCUUUUGUCAUAACGUAGGGAAACUUACGCUAAUACCGCAUACGACCUACGUUUGAAAGCAUCGGAUCUUCCGAUCUUUCUCGAUUCAAUGUCCCUAUGUCUGAUUAGCUAGUUGGCGGGGUACAUGCCCACCAAGGCGACGAUCAGUAGCUGGGAUGAGAGGAUGAUCAGAGACACUGGAAAUGAGAAACGGUCCAGAAACCUACGGGAGGCAGCAGUGGGGAAUAUUGGACAAUGGGCGAAAGCAUGAUCCAGCCAUACCGCGUGGGUGAAGAAGGACUUCGGGUUGUAAAGCCCUUUAGUUGGGAAAGAAAAGAAGCAAGUUAAUACCACGCUGUUCUGACGGUACCAAAAGAAUAAGCACCGGCUAACUUCGUG